rnacentral:rRNA from 1 species
UACAGAGGGUGCGAGCGUUAAUCGGAAUUACUGGGCGUAAAGCGUGCGUAGACGGUUAUUUAAGUCGGGUGUGAAAGCCCCGGGCUCAACCUGGGAAUUGCAUUCGAGACUGCAUUGCUGGAGUACGGAAGAGGAAGGCGGAAUUCCCGGUGUAGCGGUGAAAUGCGUAGAUAUCGGGAGGAACAUCAGUGGCGAAGGCGGCCUUCUGGUCCAGUACUGACACUCAAGUGCGAAAGCGUGGGGAGCAAACAGGGG